GUUGUAGUCUGGAGAAGUGCUUUCCGCAUUGGACCGUGUAUAAGUCUCUUGGAAUAGAGCGUCAUAGAGGGUGAGAAUCCCGUCUUUGACACGGACUACCAGUGCUUUGUGAUGCGCUCUCAAAGAGUCGAGUUGUUUGGGAAUGCAGCUCAAAAUGGGUGGUAAAUUCCAUCUAAAGCUAAAUAUUGGCGAGAGACCGAUAGCGAACAAGUACCGUGAGGGAAAGAUGAAAAGCACUUUGGAAAGAGAGUUAAACAGUACGUGAAAUUGCUGAAAGGGAAACACUUGAAGUCAGUCGUGUUGUUUGGAACUCAGCCUUGCUUUUGCUUGGUGCACUUUCUGAAUGACAGGCCAGCAUCAAUUUUGACCGUUGGAAAAAGGUAGGGGGAAUGUGGCACCUUCGGGUGUGUUAUAGCCUCUUGUCACAUACAACGGUUGGGAUUGAGGACCGCAGCACGCCGCAAGGCAGGGGGUUUCCCACUUUCGUGCUUAGGAUGCUGGCAUAAUGGCUUUAAAUGACCCGUCUUGAAACACGGACCAAGGAGUCUAACAUGCCUGCGAGUGUUUGGGUGGAAAACCCGAGCGCGUAAUGAAAGUGAAAGUUGAGACCUCUGUCGUGGAGGGCAUCGACGCCCGGACCUGACGUUCUCUGACGGAUCCGCGGUAGAGCAUGUAUGUUGGGACCCGAAAGAUGGUGAACUAUGCCUGAAUAGGGUGAAGCCAGAGGAAACUCUGGUG
rnacentral:rRNA from 2 species